CGGUGGAUGAUGUGGAUUAAUCGAUGCAACGCGUAAAACCUACCUACCUGACAUGUCCGGAAUCCUGCAGAGAUGCGGGAGUGCCGAAAGGGAAUCGGAACACAGGUGCUGCAUGGCUGUCGUCAGCUCGUGUCGUGAGAUGUUCGGGUUAAGUCCCGCAACGAGCGCAACCCUUGUCAUUAGUUGCCAUCAUUUGGUUGGGCACUCUAAUGAGACUGCCGGUGACAAACCGGAGGAAGGUGGGGAUGACGUCAAGUCCUCAUGGCCCUUAUGGGUAGGGCUUCACACGUCAUACAAUGGUCGGUACAGAGGGUUGCCAACCCGCGAGGGGGAGCUAAUCCCACAAAGCCGAUCGUAGUCCGGAUCGCAGUCUGCAACUCGACUGCGUGAAGUCGGAAUCGCUAGUAAUCGUGGAUCAGCAUGUCACGGUGAAUACGUUCCCGGGUCUU
rnacentral:rRNA from 1 species